GCUUCCAAAGAGACUUAGUGGCGAACGGGUGAGUAACACGUAGGUAACCUGCCCAUGUGUCCGGGAUAACUGCUGGAAACGGUAGCUAAAACCGGAUAGGUAUACAGAGCGCAUGCUCAGUAUAUUAAAGCGCCCAUCAAGGCGUGAACAUGGAUGGACCUGCGGCGCAUUAGCUAGUUGGUGAGGUAACGGCCCACCAAGGCGAUGAUGCGUAGCCGGCCUGAGAGGGUAAACGGCCACAUUGGGACCGAGACACGGCCCAAACUCCUACGGGAGGCAGCAGUAGGGAAUUUUCGUCAAUGGGGGAAACCCUGAACGAGCAAUGCCGCGUGAGUGAAGAAGGUCUUCGGAUCGUAAAGCUCUGUUGUAAGUGAAGAACGGCUCAUAGAGGAAAUGCUAUGGGAGUGACGGUAGCUUACCAGAAAGCCACGGCUAACUACGUGCCAGCAGCCGCGGUAAUACGUAGGUGGCAAGCGUUAUCCGGAAUCAUUGGGCGUAAAGGGUGCGUAGGUGGCGUACUAAGUCUGUAGUAAAAGGCAAUGGCUCAACCAUUGUAAGCUAUGGAAACUGGUAUGCUGGAGUGCAGAAGAGGGCGAUGGAAUUCCAUGUGUAGCGGUAAAAUGCGU
rnacentral:rRNA from 1 species